rnacentral:rRNA from 1 species
UACGAAGGGGGCUAGCGUUACUCGGAUUGACUGGGCGUAAAGGGCGCGUAGGCGGCUUGUACAGUCAGACGUGAAAUUCCUGGGCUCAACCUGGGGGCUGCGUUUGAUACGUGCGGGCUUGAGUUCGGAAGAGGGUCGUGGAAUUCCCAGUGUAGAGGUGAAAAUUCGUAGAUAUUGGGAAGAACACCGGUGGCGAAGGCGGCGACCUGGUCCGAUACUGACGCUGAGGCGCGAAAGCGUGGGGAGCAAACAGG